UGGGGAAUAUUGCACAAUGGGGGAAACCCUGAUGCAGCGACGCCGCUGUGAGACGAUGAAGUAUUUCGGUAUGUAAAGCUCUAUCAGCAGGGAAGAAUUAGGACGGUACCUGACUAAGAAGCACUGGCUAAAUACGUGCCAGCAGCCGCGGUAAUACGUAGGGGGCAAGCGUUAUCCGGAUUUACUGGGUGUAAAGGGAGCGUAGACGGAUCUGCAAGUCUGGAGUGAAAGCCCGGGGCUCAACCCCGGGACUGCUUUGGAAACUGUGGAUCUAGAGUGCCGGAGAGGUAAGCGGAAUUCCUAGUGUAGCGGUGAAAUGCAUAGAUAUCACGCAGAACUCCGAUUGCGAAGGCAGCAUACCGGCGCCCGACUGACGCUCAUGCACGAAAGCGUGGGUAUCGAACAGGAUUAGAUACC
rnacentral:rRNA from 1 species